UACAGAGGGUGCGAGCGUUGUCCGGAAUCACUGGGCGUAAAGGGCGCGUAGGCGGCCUGAUAAGUCGGGGGUGAAAUCCUGUGGCUCAACCACAGGGCUGCCUCCGGGACUGUCGGGCUCGAGCACAGUAGAGGCAGGUGGAAUUCCCGGUGUAGCGGUGGAAUGCGUAGAGAUCGGGAAGAACAUCGGUGGCGAAGGCGGCCUGCUGGGCUGUUGCUGACGCUGAGGCGCGACAGCGUGGGGAGCAAACAGG
rnacentral:rRNA from 2 species